AAAAUCCGUCGAAUUUAAA
rnacentral:tRNA from 1 species